rnacentral:tRNA from 1 species
GGCCUCGAAGCUCAAAUGGAUGAGCGUCUCGUUGCGGACGAGAAGGCUGAUGGUUCGAGUCCAUCCGGGGCCG